rnacentral:rRNA from 1 species
ACAGAGGGUGCAAGCGUUGUUCGGAAUCACUGGGCGUAAAGCGCGUGUAGGCGGCGCAGUCAGUCGGAUGUGAAAGCCCUCGGCUCAACCGAGGAAGUGCAUCCGAUACUGCUGUGCUUGAGUAUCGGAGGGGAUGGCGGAAUUCCUGGUGUAGAGGUGAAAUUCGUAGAUAUCAGGAGGAACACCUGUGGCGAAGGCGGCCAUCUGGACGAUUACUGACGCUGAGACGCGAAAGCGUGGGGAGCAAACAGG